GAUGAACGCUAGCUACAGGCUUAACACAUGCAAGUCGAGGGGAAACGAUAUUGGAAGCUUGCUUCCGAUAGGCGUCGACCGGCGCACGGGUGAGUAACGCGUAUCCAACCUGCCCAUCACUUGGGGAUAACCUUGCGAAAGUAAGACUAAUACCCAAUGACGUCUCUAGAAGACAUCUGAAGGAGAUUAAAGAUUUAUCGGUGAUGGAUGGGGAUGCGUCUGAUUAGCUUGUUGGCGGGGUAACGGCCCACCAAGGCGACGAUCAGUAGGGGUUCUGAGAGGAAGGUCCCCCACAUUGGAACUGAGACACGGUCCAAACUCCUACGGGAGGCAGCAGUGAGGAAUAUUGGUCAAUGGACGAGAGUCUGAACCAGCCAAGUAGCGUGCAGGAUGACGGCCCUAUGGGUUGUAAACUGCUUUUAUAAGGGAAUAAAGUGGGAGUCGUGACUCCUUUUGCAUGUACCUUAUGAAUAAGGACCGGCUAAUUCCGUGCCAGCAGCCGCAGUAA
rnacentral:rRNA from 1 species